rnacentral:lncRNA from 1 species
GGCAGUAUAUGACCAGGGAUGUUCUCUGUUUAGUGAGUCCUCCAGAUCAGAGGCAGUAGGGAUGACCAGGGAUGUUCUCUGUUUAGUGAGUCCGCCAGAUCAGAGGCAGUAGGGAUGACCAGGGAUGUUCUCUGUUUAGUGAGUCCGCCAGAUCAGAGGCAGUAGGGAUGACCAGGGAUGUUCUCUGUUUAGUGAGUCCUCCAGAUCAGAGGCAGUAGGGAUGACCAGGGAUGUUCUCUGUUUAGUGAGUCCUCCAGAUCAGAGGCAGUAGGGAUGACCAGGGAUGUUCUCUGUUUAGUGAGUCAUCCAGAUCAGAGGCAGUAGGGAUGACCAGGGAUGUUCUCUGUUUAGUGAGUCCUCCAGAUCAGAGGCAGUAGGGAUGACCAGGGAUGUUCUCUGUUUAGUGAGUCCUCCAGAUCAGAGGCAGUAGAGAUGACCAGGGAUGUUCUCUGUUUAGUGAGUCCGCCAGAUCAGAGGCAGUAGGGAUGACCAGGGAUGUUCUCUG